UACGGAGGAGCCAAGCGUUGUCCGGAUUGACUGGGCGUAAAGCGCACGCAGGCGGUUUGGCGCGUGGGGUGUGAAAUCUGGCCGCUUAACGGCCAGGCGCCAUCCCAUACGGCUAAACUGGAGUGAUGCAGAGGUCGGUGGAAUUGCCGGUGUAGUGGUGAAAUGCGUAGAGAUCGGCAGGAACACCCAGGGGAAACCAGCCGACUGGGCAUCGACUGACGCUGAGGUGCGAGAGCGUGGGGAGCGAACCGG
rnacentral:rRNA from 1 species